CUAACCCUGAGGCGUGAUGACGAUGCACUACGGUGCAGAAGUAGUUGAUGCCCUGCUUCCAGGAAAAUCCUCUAAGCUCCAGGUAACAUUAAAUCGUACCCCAAACCGACACAGGUGGUCAGGUAGAGAAUACCAAGGCGCUUGAGAGAACUCGGGUGAAGGAACUAGGCAAAAUGGUGCCGUAACUUCGGGAGAAGGCACGCUGGCAUGUAGGUGAAGUCCCUCGCGGAUGGAGCUGAAGCCAGUCGAAGAUACCAGCUGGCUGCAACUGUUUAAUAAAAACACAGCACUGUGCAAACACGAAAGUGGACGUAUACGGUGUGACGCCUGCCCGGUGCUGGAAGGUUAAUUGAUGGGGUCAGCCGCAAGGCGAAGCUCUUGAUCGAAGCCCCAGUAAACGGCGGCCGUAACUAUAACGGUCCUAAGGUAGCGAAAUUCCUUGUCGGGUAAGUUCCGACCUGCACGAAUGGCGUAAUGAUGGCCAGGCUGUCUCCACCCGAGACUCAGUGAAAUUGAACUCGCUGUGAAGAUGCAGUGUACCCGCGGCAAGACGGAAAGACCCCGUGAACCUUUACUAUAGCUUGACACUGAACAUUGAGCCUUGAUGUGUAGGAUAGGUGGGAGGCUUUGAAGCGUGGACGCCAGUCUGCGUGGAGCCAUCCUUGAAAUACCACCCUUUAAUGUUUGAUGUUCUAACUCGGCCCCAUAAUCUGGGGUGAGGACAGUGUCUGGUGGGUAGUUUGACUGGGGCGGUCUCCUCCCAAAGAGUAACGGAGGAGCACGAAGGUUAGCUAAUCACGGUCGGACAUCGUGAGGUUAGUGCAAAGGCAUAAGCUAGCUUGACUGCGAGAGUGACGGCUCGAGCAGGUACGAAAGUAGGUCUUAGUGAUCCGGUGGUUCUGAAUGGAAGGGCCAUCGCUCAACGGAUAAAAGGUACUCCGGGGAUAACAGGCUGAUACCGCCCAAGAGUUCAUAUCGACGGCGGUGUUUGGCACCUCGAUGUCGGCUCAUCACAUCCUGGGGCUGAAGUAGGUCCCAAGGGUAUGGCUGUUCGCCAUUUAAAGUGGUACGCGAGCUGGGUUUAGAACGUCGUGAGACAGUUCGGUCCCUAUCUGCCGUGGGCGUUGGAAGAUUGAGAGGGGUUGCUCCUAGUACGAGAGGACCGGAGUGAACGCACCACUGGUGUUCGGGUUGUCAUGCCAAUGGCAUUGCCCGGUAGCUAAGUGCGGAAAAGAUAAGCGCUGAAAGCAUCUAAGCGCGAAACUUGCCUCAAGAUGAGUCUUCCCUGGGCCUUUAAGGCCCCUGAAGGAACGUUUAAGACUAAGACGUUGAUAGGCUGGGUGUGUAAGUGCAGCGAUGCAUUGAGCUAACCAGUACUAAUGAUCCGUGAGGCUUAACCUU
rnacentral:rRNA from 1 species